GCCUAACACAUGCAAGUCGAACGGAACUUCUUCGACAGAAUUCUUCGGAAGGAAGUUGAUUAAGUUUAGUGGCGGACGGGUGAGUAACGCGUGAGUAACCUGCCUUUGAGAGGGGAAUAACUUCCCGAAAGGGAUGCUAAUACCGCAUGACGCAUAUUUAUCGCAUGGUAGAUAUGCCAAAGAUUUAUCGCUCAAAGAUGGACUCGCGUCCGAUUAGCCAGUUGGCGGGGUAACGGCCCACCAAAGCGACGAUCGGUAGCCGGACUGAGAGGUUGAACGGCCACAUUGGGACUGAGACACGGCCCAGACUCCUACGGGAGGCAGCAGUGGGGGAUAUUGCGCAAUGGGGGAAACCCUGACGCAGCAACGCCGCGUGAAGGAUGAAGGUUUUCGGAUUGUAAACUUCUUUUAUUUAGGACGAACAAUGACGGUACUAAAUGAAUAAGCUCCGGCUGACUACGUGCCAGCAGCCGCGGUAA
rnacentral:rRNA from 1 species